GUGCAUAUAUGUGACCCUGUAUAGGCUUACGCAGAAGCCAUAAAAGAGGGGCAUAUUUAUGAUGCUGUGUAGGCUUGCACAGAAGCCGCAGUACGUUUUCAGAUGGGUCAAUUAUACAUAAGAGAUGAAUGUUACAUCAUGUUUAGUUGUAUGCUUAUUACCGUUUCUAUUUUGUUCUGUAGACCAUCUGACGCCCUGUGGCUUGUUAGGGCAGCUCCACAUGAGUUGCCUGAUAGAGCUCGCUGUGAGGUCACGUGUCACUUCAAUUGGUGUAUUUUUAUACAAUUGAUAGCUAAAGGUAACAUAACGAACAUGAAAAAGUCAUACAUUAACCAAAACUUUAUAAUCGUUGUUGUCUGUGAUACUGUGAGUUGGCGUGUCAGCUUCCACAGCUCGGACGAGGAUCAUCGUGUGCGCUUUGGUCUUUAGCCCUGAGUGUGUGUUCGGUUCCCCUGUCCACUCUCCCUAUUCUCCUGGUAUUGUUCCCAUAGUUCCCAUGUCCUGCCAAAUCUUUUGGUGGUGUGCCUGGCCAGGGAGGUUAACCUGUCCAUUUGGUAGUUAUCCUUUAUCUUAGCUAUCACUAGUGCCAUGGGGGGCGUUUCCGGGCAGAGCCAUUUCUGCGCUAGUGCCCUUCGGGCCGCCAGGUAAAUCAUGUUUAACAGUUGUUGCUCUGGGCGUAGGAGGCCAUCUGUUGGCCUGGAGAGGAGACCGGCCCAGGGGUCUAACCGUAGAGGCCUCUGCAAUAUGUUCGAGCUUAGGUUGGUGAUUCGAACCCAAUAAGCCUGUACUGAGGGGCAUUUCCACCACAUGUGCACAUAUGUGCCUUGUUCCCCGCACCCGUGCCAACAGAGAUCAGUGGGAGUGAUCUGCAUGCGCAAUUGUUUUAGUGGAGUAAUGUACCAUCUGAAAAGCGUUUUGAAUGAUUGCUCUUGGAGGGUGACACAUAUGGAUGAUCGUGCUGUGACCUUACAUAUGUCCUGCCAGUCUGAGCCCUCCAGUGUCUGCCUCCCAUUGGUCCGUGUAUCGGAGCUCCCCCCACUCUUUGGCUUCCCCGCUAAGGUGUGAGUAUAGUAAUGAGAUAAGUCCCUUGGGGUGUUUUUCUUGAUAGCAAAUGUUCUCAAACCAGGUGAUGGGGAGGGUGGCCGUCUCCUUGACUUCUUUGGAGCUAGCAAAAUCUCGUAUCUGUAUGUAGCGGAAAAAGUCCCUGUUUGUUAGGGGGGGAUUGUGUUCUGAGCUGAUCGUAUGUGACUACUUGACCGUUUUUGUAAAGGUGGCAGUAUCUAUGGAUACUUGCCUUCUCCAGGCCCCUAAAGGGUCAGAUUUUUUUCCCCAUGGGAAAGAUUUGAUUCAAUGCUUUCCUAGGGACAUUAGACCCCGCUCGUUGGGGGACGGAACCUCAACCCAGUGCCUAGGGACAUCGGCGCUGGGAUAAGGUAAGUAAAUAAAGGGUUUUUAACUCGUUGUUUACCAGGGUGGUGCAAGGGAGAGGGAAGGCAGAGUAAUCAGUAGUGCCAGGAAUACAGUUUUGUAUUCCUGGCUCUAUAGCAUCCCUUUAACGAAGUAGGGACAUUUAGUGCAAAGAACGGGAACUGAAUGUGUCUUUUACAUAUAUUAUUUAGAUGUUCUACACCUUACUUUCACUUUCCUACCAGUCCUCCCCACAUAUUGCACACCACAACCACAUGUGAUCAGGAA
rnacentral:lncRNA from 1 species